CCUGUUGCUACAACACUGCUUCACAAACCAUCAGAAUCUUCUUCAUUCCCUGAACAAGGCCAGCCAGUUUUACAGUGGCUGGUACUGCUCUCUUACAACAGUAUCACUGGCAUUUACUAAAAUGCCAAUAGAAACACAUACAUGAACAGAACAGCAAGAAACUCGGAGUCUUCUUGAGGCUGAUUUUUCAAGACAGGAGGCAGGAAGAAAGACUGGAUAAGAAGACCUGCACCUUUAUGACAGUACCCAGCCUGGAAGACAUAUGUACAUCAAGCCACAUACAGAUUUUCCUUGGGACUGUCUGACAUCCCAGACAUUUGAGACAACUGAACAGGGAGCUACAGGACAACUUCAAUCCAGGAAAUUCAUUAUACUCCUGAAGGAGUUCCUCCUUUUCCUUCCCACCACGCUCCAGUCCACUGUUUGGAUCAUCAGCCUUCAUGUGG